UCACAGUACUAUAAGGAGUUGCAGAUCUCAGAAAUCACACCAUCAGAGCUAGAAAAGACCAGCAAUAUUAGGAACAGCAUACAUCCUGCGCCGAUACUUAACAGAGAUACUGAGGUUUUUGAUUAAAACUUGUAUCUGUUAUAUAUAAUGCCAUGAUCUUGCCAUCAUAGCUAACUGGGAAGAAUGAUGAGAGCCCUACCCCAACAAUAUAUGGAAGGCAAAAGGUCGCCCAUCCCUGCCUUGGAAAAGAGAAACCUAAAAACGUGGAGACACGUGUUCAGGUGGCAGCAUUCGACCGCAGUAGGGCAAUCUGUUUUGCUGUGGACGUGUUUUUGCUCCCUGAACACUUGUGAGGUGCAGGAUACAGUUGUUUCUACUGAGGGUACAAGUGAGAGACUCAGAGAUGGCCCCCAUUCAUGAUCUGCGAAACCAAUUUCAUUACAGUCCGAAAGAAGAGGACCACGCUACUCUGGAAGUAAAAUAAUGGCAACAAAUAAUGGACAAUAUUUCACGGCCAUGUCAUGACUGGAAACGUCUUGGAAGAUGCAGGUUUGAACUGACAUCUUAUAGCAUAUUUUCUUACAUUAUAAAAAUAUCAUGGUCCGAAGAAAAAUUCACUUUCUCUGACAUAGAAUACUUUACAUAGCAUUCUGCCUUAAUACUUCCUACUUGAUUUUUCUUCUUUAUGUCGAUGAAUUUACAGAUUCUGUGUCUCUGUGGAAACUGAUCAUGGUCAAGUCACAUUUGAAUUCCACCUAGAGUGAGAUUUUUUUCCGUUCCUUUUCAGAUUUUGGUCCUUACAGUUUAAGUCAAGUCCUAGAUCUAUGAGAGGUUUCUUUCCCCAGCCUCUUUGUCGUAGGCCUGCAUUUAGUUUGCAGUUUUCAUUAUUAAUAUACCUGGCUUUUCCACCCAAAACGCAGCUAAGAGUGAUAAAGCUCAAAGUAAGAAUGAAGUCUUGAUAAAACACAGCAAAAACAAAUUAAUUGGAAAUACGAUAAAAGGUAUAGCCAGCUUCCUGUUUGUCAUUCCGUGCCUUAAAUCACACCUGGGAAAAAUUGCCUCUUCCGACUACAUCUCACAGAAGACUUCAACCAACACUGCCAUUAUCCAAAAAAGGUAGAUUUUUAUGGACUCUGCUUUAAGCAAGGAUUCUGAAAGAGCUUUGUUUUAAAUACCAGCUUUCCUACCAAAACCCUGACUGAAUAGAAAUCUGUGUGCUGUUUUAGAAGAUCUAAAAUUCUAUAGAUUGGCAGAGACAUGUUGUACAUUUCUCUGGGGAGGGGGGAGUGUGUGGCCUUUAAUUUCACAAUGAUUGAAUUCACACCAGUCAUUUUAUAUGGCGCCAGUCUUUUCUAAUAGUAAUGUCAUCGCUUGUGGCGCUUCCAUCCUGUGCUUUUUCUGCCCUGCUGUCCCCAUGGGG
rnacentral:lncRNA from 1 species